rnacentral:snoRNA from 1 species
CCCCUCUGGUUCCCUUUCCCUGGUCUUGGUGUCCAUAAAGGAGGAGGGCAUGCUGAAGCUGGCCUCAUAGCCUUGUAGUAUGAUAUAAGCAUGUGGGCUAGAUUCAAACCAGG